rnacentral:rRNA from 1 species
CUGAGUAGAGUGGCGCACGGGUGAGUAACGCGUGGGUAAUCUACCCUUGGAUUUGGGAUAACUCUGCGAAAGUGGAGCUAAUACCGGAUAGUCUGGCUUUAAAUAAGAAGUCGGUAAAGGAUGCCUCUGCAUAUGCAUUCGUCCGAGGAUGAGCCCGCGUCUCAUUAGCUAGUUGGUAGGGUAAUGGCCUACCAAGGCAACGAUGAGUAGCUGGUCUGAGAGGAUGAUCAGCCACACUGGAACUGAAACACGGUCCAGACUCCUACGGGAGGCAGCAGUGGGGAAUAUUGCGCAAUGGGCGAAAGCCUGACGCAGCAACGCCGUGUGAGGGAUGAAGGCUUUCGGGUCGUAAACCUCUGUCGGAAGGGAAGAACGGGCAUUGGUCUAAUAGGCCUUUGUUUUGACGGUACCUUUAGAGGAAGCACCGGCUAACUCCGUGCCAGCAGCCGCGGUAAUACGGAGGGUGCAAGCGUUAUUCGGAAUUACUGGGCGUAAAGCGCACGUAGGCGGCCUUGUAAGUCAGGGGUGAAAUCCCACGGCUCAACCGUGGAACUGCCUUUGAAACUGCAGGGCUUGAAUCCUGGAGAGGGUGGCGGAAUUCCUGGUGUAGGAGUGAAAUCCGUAGAUAUCAGGAGGAACACCGGUGGCGAAGGCGGCCACCUGGACAGGCAUUGACGCUGAGGUGCGAAAGUGUGGGGAGCAAACAGGAUUAGAUACCCUGGUAGUCCACACCGUAAACGAUGGAUACUAGGUGUCGGGGACUUGAUCUUCGGUGCCGUAGCUAACGCGUUAAGUAUCCCGCCUGGGGAGUACGGUCGCAAGGCUGAAACUCAAAGAAAUUGACGGGGGCCCGCACAAGCGGUGG